UACGUAGGGUGCGAGCGUUAAUCGGAAUUACUGGGCGUAAAGCGUGCGCAGGCGGUUUCACAAGCUCGAUGUGAAAGCCCCGGGCUUAACCUGGGAAUGGCAUUGAGGACUGUGGAGCUCGAGUGCGGCAGAGGGAGGUGGAAUUCCACGUGUAGCAGUGAAAUGCGUAGAGAUGUGGAGGAACACCGAUGGCGAAGGCAGCCCCCUGGGCUGAGAUUGACGCUCAGGCACGAAAGCGUGGGGAGCAAACAGG
rnacentral:rRNA from 1 species